rnacentral:rRNA from 1 species
GAUGAACGCUGGCGGCGUGCCUAAUACAUGCAAGUCGAGCGAAUAGACGAGGAGCUUGCUCCUCUGACGUUAGCGGCGGACGGGUGAGAAACACGUGGAUAACCUACCUAUAAGACUGGGAUAACUUCGGGAAACCGGAGCUAAUACCGGAUAACAUGUUGAACCGCAUGGUUCAACAGUGAAAGACGGUCUUGCUGUCACUUAUAGAUGGAUCCGCGCCGCAUUAGCUAGUUGGUAAGGUAACGGCUUACCAAGGCAACGAUGCGUAGCCGACCUGAGAGGGUGAACGGCCACACUGGAACUGAGACACGGUCCAGACUCCUACGGGAGGCAGCAGUAGGGAAUCUUCCGCAAUGGGCGAAAGCCUGACGGAGCAACGCCGCGUGAGUGAAGAAGGUCUUCGGAUCGUAAAACUCUGUUAUUAGGGAAGAACAAAUGUGUAAGUAACUAUGCACGUCUUGACGGUACCUAAUCAGAAAGCCACGGCUAACUACGUG